rnacentral:rRNA from 1 species
UAAUACAGAGGGUGCGAGCGUUAAUCGGAAUUACUGGGCGUAAAGCGCGCGUAGGCGGCUUUGCAAGUCGGGUGUGAAAUCCCCAGGCUUAACCUGGGAACUGCAUUCGAGACUGCAUUGCUAGAGUAUGGGAGAGGGAAGUGGAAUUUCAGGUGUAGCGGUGAAAUGCGUAGAUAUCUGAAGGAACAUCAGUGGCGAAAGCGACUUCCUGGACCAAUACUGACGCUCAUGUGCGAAAGCGUGGGGAGCAAACAGGAUUAGAUACCCUGGUAGUCCACGCCAUAAACGAUGACAACUGGAUGUCGGGAGGGUUUGCCUCUCGGUGUCGUAGCUAACGCGUUAAGUUGUCCGCCUGGGGAGUACGGCCGCAAGGUUG